UCCAAGCUCUGUGAGCUGGCACACAUGUAAUGUUGUAGGAAGCAACCUGUAUGAACCAUUGCCUUGAAAUCAAACAGCAUGCCAGCGUGAGCUGUGACCCAAAAAAAUAUGACUUUUUCUUUCAACAGUUGCCAUUUAAACCAAAUCAUUGGGUGGCAAAAGUGGCCAACUGGUUCAGUCUUGAGAGAAAUGAAAAAUGAAGAGUGCCUCUGAGCAUCUGCAAAUAACUGGACCCUCAUCGGCAGUCUGAGGUACAAACUCUAGCAAUUCCUAAGAAACACAGCCCAAAGUUUUCAUUGACAGAUGGACAAAAAGAAGAAAGAGUUUGAAAAUUGCACCAGGAGAAACAGAAGGCAUCACUUACGCUCCAGAGAGAACCCUGAUGGAGGAUACUUCCUUGCUGCUCCAUCCCAUGGCUUGCAACGAUGGAUAGUCAUCAGUCAGCUCAAAC